rnacentral:rRNA from 1 species
UACAGAGGUCUCAAGCGUUGUUCGGAUUCAUUGGGCGUAAAGGGUGCGUAGGUGGCGCCGUAAGUCAGGUGUGAAAUUUCGGAGCUUAACUCCGAAACUGCAUUUGAUACUGCGGUGCUUGAGGACUGGAGAGGAGACUGGAAUUUACGGUGUAGCAGUGAAAUGCGUAGAGAUCGUAAGGAAGACCAGUGGCGAAGGCGGGUCUCUGGGACAGUUUCCUGACACUGAGGCACGAAGGCCCAGGGAGCGAAACGGG